rnacentral:rRNA from 1 species
GUUGUAUGGUUAAGUGACUAAGCGUACAUGGUGGAUGCCUUGGCAGUCAGAGGCGAUGAAGGACGUACUAACCUGCGAUAAGCUGUGAGAAGUCGGUAAGAGACGCUAUUACUCACAGAUUUCCGAAUGGGGAAACCCACCCGAGAUAACUCGGGUAUCUGUUAUUGAAUACAUAGGUAACAGAGGCGAACCGGGAGAACUGAAACAUCUAAGUACCCCGAGGAAAAGAAAUCAACCGAGAUUCCCUCAGUAGCGGCGAGCGAACGGGGAUUAGC